GCUUACGGCCAUACCACCCUCAACGCGCCCGAUCUCGUCAGAUCUCGGAAGCUAAGCAGGGUCAGGCCUGGUUAGUACUUGGAUGGGAGACCGCCUGGGAAUACCAGGUGCUGUAAGCC
rnacentral:rRNA from 15 species